rfam:Triticum aestivum genome assembly, contig: Triticum_aestivum_CS42_TGACv1_scaffold_436236_5DL
CAACUACUCCUCUGUCCCAAAUUUCUUGUCUUAGAUUUGUCUAGAUACGGAUGUAUCUAAUACUAAAAUGUGACUUGAUACAUCCGUAUCUAGACAAAUCUAAGACAAGAAUUUUCGGACGGAGGGAGUACUUU